rnacentral:lncRNA from 1 species
CUGGUUUCAAGGAAACUCAAUCAACCCUAAUGCCCGUCUUCUUUCCAACUCUGGUCUUUCCCACACAGCAAGAAUUAUUGAUAUUCUGUAAAAUCAAACCCGGAGGUUACCUCGGAGUUAUCACCAUGAAGUUGUUUUUAGAAGACUUUUUGAUUCCAUCAACCCACCUCCUAAUCAAGCUGACAGGAUAUCUUGGCAAUCUAUG